AUUGAACGCUGGCGGCAGGCCUAACACAUGCAAGUCGAACGGUAACAGGAAGAAGCUUGCUUCUUUGCUGACGAGUGGCGGACGGGUGAGUAAUGUCUGGGAAACUGCCUGAUGGAGGGGGAUAACUACUGGAAACGGUAGCUAAUACCGCAUAACGUCGCAAGACCAAAGAGGGGGACCUUCGGGCCUCUUGCCAUCGGAUGUGCCCAGAUGGGAUUAGCUAGUAGGUGGGGUAACGGCUCACCUAGGCGACGAUCUCUAGCUGGUCUGAGAGGAUGACCAGCCACACUGGAACUGAGACACGGUCCCGACUCCUACGGGAGGCAGCAGUGGGGAAUAUUGCACAAUGGGCGCAAGCCUGAUGCAGCCAUGCCGCGUGUAUGAAGAAGGCCUUCGGGUUGUAAAGUACUUUCAGCGGGGAGGAAGGGAGUAAAGUUAAUACCUUUGCUCAUUGACGUUACCCGCAGAAGAAGCACCGGCUAACUCCGUG
rnacentral:rRNA from 1 species